GAUGGACGCUGGCGGCGUGCUUAACACAUGCAAGUCGAACGGGAAUUACUUUAUUGAAACUUCGGUCGAUUUAAUUUAAUUCCAGUGGCGGACGGGUGAGUAACGCGUGGGUAACCUGCCUUAUACAGGGGGAUAACAGUCAGAAAUGGCUGCUAAUACCGCAUAAGCGCACAGAGCUGCAUGGCUCUGUGUGAAAAACUCCGGUGGUAUAAGAUGGACCCGCGUUGGAUUAGCUUGUUGGUGGGGUAACGGCCCACCAAGGCGACGAUCCAUAGCCGGCCUGAGAGGGUGAACGGCCACAUUGGGACUGAGACACGGCCCAGACUCCUACGGGAGGCAGCAGUGGGGAAUAUUGCACAAUGGGGGGAACCCUGAUGCAGCGACGCCGCGUGAAGGAAGAAGUAUCUCGGUAUGUAAACUUCUAUCAGCAGGGAAGAUAGUGACGGUACCUGACUAAGAAGCCCCGGCUAACUACGUGCCAGCCGCCGCGGUAAUAC
rnacentral:rRNA from 1 species